rnacentral:rRNA from 1 species
AGGGGGAUGCACUGCUCAGAUUGAACGCUGGCGGCAGGCCUAACACAUGCAAGUCGAGCGGAAACGAGUUAUCUGAACCUUCGGGGGACGAUAACGGCGUCGAGCGGCGGACGGGUGAGUAAUGCCUAGGAAAUUGCCCUGAUGUGGGGGAUAACCAUUGGAAACGAUGGCUAAUACCGCAUGAUGCCUACGGGCCAAAGAGGGGGACCUUCGGGCCUCUCGCGUCAGGAUAUGCCUAGGUGGGAUUAGCUAGUUGGUGAGGUAAGGGCUCACCAAGGCGACGAUCCCUAGCUGGUCUGAGAGGAUGAUCAGCCACACUGGAACUGAGACACGGUCCAGACUCCUACGGGAGGCAGCAGUGGGGAAUAUUGCACAAUGGGCGCAAGCCUGAUGCAGCCAUGCCGCGUGUGUGAAGAAGGCCUUCGGGUUGUAAAGCACUUUCAGUCGUGAGGAAGGUGGUGUAGUUAAUAGCUGCAUCAUUUGACGUUAGCGACAGAAGAAGCACCGGCUA